UACGUAGGGUGCAAGCGUUAAUCGGAAUUACUGGGCGUAAAGCGUGCGCAGGCGGUUAUGUAAGACAGGUGUGAAAUCCCCGGGCUUAACCUGGGAACUGCAUUUGUGACUGCAUAGCUAGAGUACGGUAGAGGGGAUGGAAUUCCGCGUGUAGCAGUGAAAUGCGUAGAUAUGCGGAGGAACACCGAUGGCGAAGGCAAUCCCCUGGACCUGUACUGACGCUCAUGCACGAAAAGCGUGGGGAGCAAACAGG
rnacentral:rRNA from 1 species